rnacentral:rRNA from 1 species
AGAAAGUUUGAAUCUAGCUUCUUAAUUAACUAUAUACUAAACAUACUUUGCAUGUAAAAUUUUAUCCGCCCAAGUAAGAUCUAAGAUAUGUGAUAAUAUUACACCUAUUCUUUCCUUGCCUACAGCAAAUAAUAUUGUGUUAAUCAUUUAUAAAUGGAUCCAGUUAUAGUAAAAAAGAAUUGGGCAAGCUUAUGCCAGCAGCCGCGGUUAGAUCUGCUUAUAUUCAAGUUAAUAAUCCCGGUCUAGUGAAACUACCUUCUUAUGAUUUAAAACAAUAUUCCUAUUAGGGAUUCCAUCCAAAUUGAUAAUAUUUACUCCUAUUUUUCCUAUUUAUUUUUUCACGAAAGUCUACAUAAAAACAAGGAUUAGAUACCCUUCUAUUGUUGACCAUUAAUUAACUCUACCCCCAGGGCACUAUUGUCACAUGGCAUAAACCCAAAGAUCUUGGCGGUGUCUCAUACUACUCAGGGGAGCCUGUCUCUGAAACUGAUGAUCCGCAUUACUCCUUACCUUCUCUUGAAACUACUCUACCAGCCUAUACAUCGCCGUCGAAAAUUUAUCUCAAAAAGAAUAAAAAUAAGGUAUUGUGAAUUUACUCUUCCUUACGUCAGGUCGACAUGUAGCUAAUGAGGAGGAGUAGAUGGGCUACAUUUUCAUUAUAUACUGGAUUAUUAAGUAAAAUUAAUAAGAAAUUGGACUUGAGAGUAAUUUCGCUUUUAUUCGUUACAUCAAAAUGAACGUGUUAGCUGAGACGUGUACAAAUCGCCCGUCGCUCCCGUCGAAAGAUGGGAUAAGUCGUAACAUAGUAGGCGUAGCGGAAGCUGUGCCUAAAACCAU